rnacentral:rRNA from 1 species
GGGGGGAUCGCAGACUCCUUACACCCUGUGACCUUACUGUAUACGCGUUGCUUCGGCGGGUCCGCCCGCCGGCAGCAUACCACAUUCUGUUUCUCUGCGUUGGCAUCUCGAGAAAAAAGCAAAUAAGUUAAAACUUUCAACAACGGAUCUCUUGGUUCUGGCAUCGAUGAAGAACGCAGCGAAAUGCGAUAAGUAAUGCGAAUUGCAGAAUUCCGUGAGUCAUCGAAUCUUUGAACGCACAUUGCGCCCGCCAGUAUUCUGGCGGGCAUGCCUGUUCGAGCGUCAUUGCAACCCCUCAGGCCCUGCCUGGCGUUGGAGGACUGCGCUACGCAGCCUCCCAAAGCAAGCGGCGGCGGCGCCCCAAAUCCGAACGCAGUAGUUACCUCUCGUUCUGGGUGCUGGGACGGCGUCCGGCCGGAAAACCCCCAUCUAUAUCGUGGUUGACCUCGAAUCAGGUAGGAAUACCCGCUGAACUUAAGCAUAUCAAAAACCGCGGAGGGAGAAUUAGAGGACUCGCAGGACUCCUUACACCUAGUGAAACUUUAGGGUAGACGCCUUGCUUCGGCGGGGUCCCCGCGGCGGCAUACCCAUUUCGUUUUCUCUGCGUUGGCAUCUGAGCAAAAAAGCAAAUAAGUUUAAAACUUUUCAACAACGCAUCUUCGGAUUCUGGCAUCAUGAAGAACGCACCAAAUGCUAUAAGUAAUGCGAAUUGCAGAAAUCCAUGAGGUCAUCAAUCUUUGAACGCACAUGGGGGCCGCCUUAUAUCUGGUGGGCAGGCGUUUCAGGCUGACGUCCGGCAACCGGGGAAAG